UGCAUCUGGGCUGAGGUACAUCUUGUGAUUCAAGAGCCAAGGGAGCACACCGAAGAAAGAAAGCCUGUUUUGGGACAAGAAUUAGACUAAGAAAUAACAGUGCAUCUCCAAUUAAUAGUGAGUGGCCAGAAUGUGGUGCUGACGAUCCAUUGUGACAAACCUCAGAUGAAAAUUUUGAAUUUGUCAAUGGCUUUUAGCAG
rnacentral:lncRNA from 1 species